CCUACGGGGGGCAGCAGUGGGGGAUAUUGCACAAUGGGGGGAACCCUGAUGCAGCGACGCCGCGUGGGUGAAGAAGCGCCUCGGCGCGUAAAGCCCUGUCAGCAGGGAAGAAAAUGACGGUACCUGAAGAAGAAGCCCCGGCUAACUCCGUGCCAGCAGCCGCGGUAAUACGGAGGGUGCGAGCGUUAUCCGGAUUUAUUGGGUUUAAAGGGUGCGCAGGCGGCGUGUCAAGUCAGCGGUAAAAUGUCGGGGAUCAACCCCGGCCGGCCGUUGAAACGGGCGUGCUGGAGUGGGAGAGAGGUAAGCGGAAUUCGUGGUGUAGCGGUGAAAUGCAUAGAGAUCAGGAAGAACCCC
rnacentral:rRNA from 1 species